rnacentral:rRNA from 1 species
GACGAACGCUGGCGGCGUGCCUAAUACAUGCAAGUAGAACGCACAGUUUAUACCUUAGCUUGCUACACCAUAAACUGUGAGUUGCGAACGGGUGAGUAACGCGUAGGUAACCUGCCUGGUAGCGGGGGAUAACUAUUGGAAACGAUAGCUAAUACCGCAUAAUAUUGAUUAUUGCAUGAUAAUUGAUUGAAAGAUGCUAUUGCAUCACUACCAGAUGGACCUUCGUUGUAUUAGAUAUGAGGUGAGGUAACGGCUCACCUAGGCGACGAUACAUAGCCGACCUGAGAGGGUGAUCGGCCACACUGGGGAGGAGACACGGCCCAGACUUCUACGGGAGGCAGCAGUAGGGAAUCUUCGGCAAUGGACGAAAGUCUGACCGAGAAACGCCGCGUGAGUGAAGAAGGUUUUCGGAUCGUAAAGCUAUGUUGUAAGAGAAGAAAGGGUGUGAGAGUGGAAAGUUCACACUGUGACGGUAUCUUACCAGAAAGGGACGGCUAACUACGUG